rnacentral:rRNA from 1 species
UGAGCAAUCUGCCCUUCUCUUCGGAAUAAGCGUUGGAAACGACGUCUAAUGCCGAAUACGACCUCCUUUCGCAUGAUCGGAGGUGGAAAGCUCCGGCGGAGAAGGAUGAGCUCGCGGCCUAUCAGCUAGUUGGUGUGGGUAACGGCCCACCAAGGCGACGACGGGUAGCCGGCCUGAGAGGGUGACCGGCCACACUGGGACUGAGACACGGCCCAGACUCCUACGGGAAGCAGCAGG